rnacentral:rRNA from 1 species
GAUGAACGCUAGCGAUAGGCUUAACACAUGCAAGUCGAGGGGCAGCAUGGUCUUAGCUUGCUAAGACUGAUGGCGACCGGCGCACGGGUGCGUAACGCGUAUGCAACUUGCCUCACAGAGGGGGAUAACCCGUCGAAAGACGGACUAAUACCGCGUACACUUGGGAUCGGGCAUCCUGACCCAAGGAAAUGAAAUUCGCUGUGAGAUAGGCAUGCGUCCCAUUAGCUAGUUGGUGAGGUAACGGCUCACCAAGGCGACGAUGGGUAGGGGAACUGAGAGGUUGAACCCCCACACUGGUACUGAGACACGGACCAGACUCCUACGGGAGGCAGCAGUGAGGAAUAUUGGUCAAUGGGCGAGAGCCUGAACCAGCCAAGUCGCGUGAAGGAUGACUGUCUUAUGGAUUGUAAACUUCUUUUAUACGGGAAUAACAAGAGCCACGUGUGGCUCCCUGCAUGUACCGUAUGAAUAAGCAUCGGCUAACUCCGUG